AACAGGAUCAUCAUAUGGAUUUAACUUAUGCUACACUAAAAUAGUAUUAUGGAAAAGUUGAAUUCAAACUCCAAUUUUAUCAGCCUAGUUUUGUUCAAGUUUUUACCUGUUUGAAUGUUUCAUUGCACAUAAGGAUCAUCAGUAAGACUACAUUAAGCUAAGAGGUAUCGAUGCUAAUUACUCACGUAUCCAAUACAACUUGAUAAUUCAAAGUCUAAACCAGGCUAAUUGCUCACAUAUCUAUUUAUUCAUACUUCUAGCUACUCUAACUUAUGAACACAUGUAAUAUGGAAGCAACUGGCAAUUUCAUGAAAGGCUAACUCCAAUUCAACCAAUCUAUUAUAUUGAAGUAAUUAUAGUCAGUCCAAUAAUAGUCCAACAGUCCUUUUACAGUCCAAUUAAUCAAAAUAUAACAACGCAACUAAACAAAAACAUAUGACAAUUAAGCCUAAUUAAACUUCCGUUUCAUUUCAUUUUCACAAACUGGGAGUCUACAUCUCAAUGAACAAAGGAAGCGUACCUGGAAUCAGAACACAAAACGAAGAAGGGUGGAAGUCAGUUGAAGCAGUAGUGAACAACAAAGAUCCACGGCCUAGAAAUAAAUUCAAUCCAGUAAAAUCCAGAAUCAAACAGAAAAUAUAAGAGUGAACUUCAAAUAAGCUUGCAAUCAAACACAAGCACUUCAGAAAACACCCAGCAAUCAAAAAACAACUAAGCAGUAACUCAACUAGACCCCAAUCUGACUCCUAAGACCAAAUCCAAGUAGUUUCAGAAAUCCAACUGUCAAAUACUGAACUAAAAGAGGUAAACUAACACUAAACUCGACUUUGGAUUGCAAAAAUCCAAUGGAACAGUGCUCUCAAUAUCUUUUGAUCUCUAAACUCUCUUCUCACUUUCAGAUUAUAUUUUUCUCAAAACUCAAUGUGUUUUUCAAGCUCUCUUAAUGUUCUUCUCUUCCUUUUUCUCUAUUUUCAGAAUGUAUUCUUUGUGUUCUCUCACCUCUUUCUCAAUGUCUCUUCCUUUUUUGGACUCUCUCCCCCUUUUUCUCUAUCAGAAUGUUCUCCAUUUAAAGAUCAAGUUUGCUCCUUUUUCUAAUUUCCAGCAUAAAAGUGCUAAGCUAACCAACCAAUCCACUUUUUCUUUUUGAAAAAAACCAUUCCACUUAACUCAAUUAGUGUAUUUCUAACCCUACGAUGUGCUAGCAGCUUCUUAAGUAGGUGAGAUACACCUUUUUAUUAAACAAAUCUCAGGCUAAUUCAACCAAAAAGGGUUCAGGUCUAUAUAAUCAAUCCAAAUCCCUUUUAAUAUGAUCUAACACAUCAAAAAUAGAUCUGGUUUAACAGAAUUACACACAAAUUCACCAACGAUUCAAGUGUUCUGUUUUUAAUGAUUGAGCAAAUCAUAUCAAUCAACAAAAACUCAGGACAAAUACCGUUUGGGAUUCUUUCAUGCACAAUAAAAGUAAACAAUAAGAGAAAAAGCACGGGGAUGAACCUGAAUGCGAACCAUUUCAAUUUAGCAUGUUUAGAUGUGAAUACAAGCAGAGGAAAAACUUAACAGUGAACUCCAAAAGACCAGAAAUAGCUAUCAAAAUCCCUAAUUAAAUUGGAACCGCUACGGAAUCCACAAUGAACAGCAAUGAUGACAAACUCGAACCAUGAAACUUGAAUCGACAAAAAUCUCAAACACAAAUCGGAACAGGAAAUCUAUCAACGAGACUCGAUCUUGACAGGGAUUCGUAACCUCGCAGCGAAACUCAAACAAACUCAACAAACAACUUCGACAUACGACUCGACGACAACCUCCUCCCAAAUAUGAAAACACUCAAACCACAAAUAUUUUAUUCACAAUGUAACUUCAAAUUCACGUCAUCAAAACCAUAAAAUUAAAAGGAGAUAGCAAUUAACAGUACCGAGGACUUCAUAAACAAACCAUCGUAAAUAAACAAAAAUAGAACAUGUAAAUGAAUGAAACAAAGCUCAGACCUUGAACCGAAAAUAGAGAAUAAUGAUCUCAAAGCGAACCUCGACGGAACCUCAUCAGAUCGGUGUCCUGACUCUCAAAUGGAGACGUCGUCUCGAAUUUACUAAAAAAUGAGGACCUCGAACACAAAUUCGACCAGAUUUGGGUAGCGAUUUCGAGCUGGUUCCACGUUAAUUUGGUGUAGCUUCAGAGAGUUUCGAAGAGGACGAAGUUAGGGGACUGGGUUCGUGUUCUCUGUUAAAGAUGAUGUUGCUUCAUCUUGGGUGAAUAUAGGGUUGUUUGGCGUGAAGUGAAGGAGAGAACAGGGGUCAUUCGGGUUCAAGGGUGGGCUGUCCGCGACGUGAAGAUGGCCAGCGGGGAGGGGGUUGGUCGAAGAAGAUAGAGACGACGCGGGGUCCGUGGGGGAUCUUUAGAUUUAGGGUUUGUUUUGUUUUGUUUUGUUUUGCUAAUAGGUGGGGC
rnacentral:lncRNA from 1 species